AUGGCCUUCCAUCGCCAGAGAACACUCUGCUUCACAACCAUUGCCACCUUAUUCCUCCUCCACCAUAUCGCCGCCGCUUCCUCCUCGCUAGUCCAAGAACAUGAUAGGUGGGCUCUCCUCCAACUCAUGAACGGACUCUCCUCCGGCUGCGGCGACGUCCCUGGGUACUGGUCACCGGACUCAGGCGUUCAACACUGCUCCUGGAAGGAGGUGAGAUGCGACAUGCGGUCCCGGGUCGUCGCCAUCUCCCUCCCUUCCCAACCCAGCCGGCGCCUCGCCGGGGUGUUGUCACCGGCGGUGGCCGGCCUCACCGACCUCAAAGUACUUUCUCUACCCUCCCGAGGGCUCCGCGGAGAGAUACCUGGUGAGUUAUGGAGGCUGCAGAACCUGGAGGUCCUCAACCUUGCGGGCAACUCCCUCCGCGGCUCCCUUCCGGCCAUCUUCCCCAAGGGGCUGCAGAGUUUGGACCUUUCCGGCAACCAGCUCUCCGGGAGAAUCCCUCCUGGUCUCGGGGACUGCUCGCACCUCCGGCGGCUCCGGAUGUCUUCCAAUUCUCUGGAUGAUUUCAUCCCUCCGCAGAUUGGGAGGCUUGCCGAGUUGCGGGUCUUGGAAUUGUCCGGGAACAGACUAGCCGGUGGCGUUCCGCCGGAGCUCCGGCAUUGCAGUUACCUUGUCAAGAUGGACCUCAGCAGAAAUUUACUCCAUGGGCAAGUGCCUUCCUCCAUUCUCAAGGAGCUCAAGAAGUUGAGGUUUCUGUCAUUAGCUGGGAACAAUUUCAGUGGUGAGAUACCAUCCGGUCUGGGUCAGCUGAGAUCGCUGAGGCUGCUAAAUUUGUCCUCAAAUUCUCUGUCAGGAGUGGUUCCCAUUGAUCUCGUGGCACUGAGAGAUCACACAGUUCUACUCCUUGACAGUGAUCUGCUCCCUGCGAAGGUUUCCUCUCCUAUGCCAUCACCUGAAAUGGAAGAGAUUUCUCAAGUGACAGCUGAUAGUUCAGGGGUAGGUCCACCACCCCACUCUGCUGAAGUAUUUACAGUCAUCCCCCAGUACAAAAGCACCUGGGUACUUACCGAGGCAAACCGAGGCACACCGCCUGAUGGCAGCGGCAAUGUUGGUCAUCUGAAGACCAUAGAGAUUGUUGCAAUAGCUUUGGUGUUAGUCGUCAUUGUUGCUCUUCUAGUUGUGGCCACCAUAUACGUUUUCAAAAGGAGAAGACGGACCCCAAGGCAACCAAGACGCUCUGGCACUGGCACUGGCACUAGAAGGGAGAGGGAGGUGAAGGUUUUUGAUGGCGUUGACAUUGGAGCUUCCCUAACUUACGAGGCAAUUGUCCGGGCCACUGGAAAUUUUAAUGCAAGCAACUGCAUCGGCUUUGGCGGCUUUGGCGCGACAUAUAGAGCUGAGGUUGCACCUGGGGUUUUGGUGGCAGUAAAGAGGCUUUCUAUUGGGAGGCAACACGGUAACAAGCAGUUCCAAGCAGAAGUUGAAACCCUUGGGCGGCGUCACCAUCCUAAUCUUGUCACUCUCAUGGGGUACCAUAUCAGUGACCAAGAGACAUUCCUGAUAUACAACUAUUUGCCAGGUGGAAACUUGGAGAGGUUCAUACAGGAGAGAGCUAAGAGGCAAAUUGGUUGGAGAGUGCUCCACAAAAUUGCUCUGGAUAUUGCUCAUGCUCUUGCUUUCAUGCAUGAUGAGUGCUCCCCCCGCAUUCUGCACCGAGAUGUUAAGCCAAGCAACAUAUUGCUCGACAAUGACUUCAAUGCAUAUCUCUCCGAUUUUGGAUUAGCGAAACUUCUUCGCAACUCACAAACUCAUACAACCACAAGUGUUGCUGGUACUUUCGGUUAUGUCGCGCCGGAGUAUGCAACGACAUGCCGUGUGUCUGAUAAAGCAGAUGUUUAUAGCUAUGGGGUUCUGCUUCUUGAACUGAUCUCGGAUAAGAAAGUACUGGAUCCAUCGUUCUCUCCAUAUGGAAAUGGUUUCAACAUUAUUAGCUGGGCUAAUAAGCUAAUCCAAAGCGGUAGAGUUUGCGAGUUCUUCGUUGAGGGCUUGUGGAAUAAGGCCCCACAUGAUGACCUGGUUGAGAUUAUGAACCUGGGGCUCCUGUGCACUGUGGAGUCUCUUUCUUCUAGGCCCAAAAUGAAGCAUGUUGUUCGCCGUCUAAGAGAACUCCGUCCGCCUUCUUACUAG
rnacentral:rRNA from 1 species